AGUGACGUCAAGUCCUCAUGGCCCUUAUGGGUAGGGCUUCACACGUCAUACAAUGGUCGGUACAGAGGGUUGCCAAGCCGCGAGGUGGAGCCAAUCCCUUAAAGCCGAUCGUAGUCCGGAUCGUAGUCUGCAACUCGACUACGUGAAGUCGGAAUCGCUAGUAAUCGCAGAUCAGCAUGCUGCGGUGAAUACGUUCCCGGGUCUU
rnacentral:rRNA from 1 species